CCUCCUCUCCUCUCCUCCCCUUCCCUUGUCUUCUUCCUCUAAUCUCCUUCGUCUUCUCUAUGAAGUCUUUUAUUUCUUCCUAAUCUUCUCCAUUUGCUUCCCUCAUCACGGACUGCUCCAUGUGAAUCGUUCUCCAUUUUCUCUACCAGACAACACCAUCUCCUCCAUCAUUCCAUUAAAAUAAGCUGUCCCCAUCAUAUCUCCAGAGAGCCUCCCUUAUCUUUCUUUUGUUUAAUCCCUCUUUCCUCUA
rnacentral:lncRNA from 1 species